UGUCAUUUUAUCAUUAGGGCCAUGGAAGGAUAUCAUAUACUUAAGGGUUCAAAGAUGAAGAAAAAAAUGAGUUGGGUCUCUCCUAAAUCUCAUAAACAAAAAGGAAAUUAUGAGUGCGGAUACUAUGUAAUGAAGACAAUGCAUACUAUUGUCGAUUCACAAAUAGUAUCUGGGUGGACUGAAAUAUUUAUAGAUCGAUCACCAUUGCCGCUAGAAGACAUAAACAUCAUUAGGGAGCAAUGGGCCACAUUUUUUAUUGACCAUUACUUUAACUAGUUUGGGCUUAUGUUUUAUAGUAUUACUUUAACUAGUUAGAACUUACAUUUCAUUGAGCAAUGUAGUCCAUUUAUGUAUUAGAUGUAUUUAAAACUAUUCAAUUAUAUAUAUAUGAUUAACAUUUAUCAUCUUGUCA